GUCUAAGGCCAUGUCACCCUGAAUGCACCCAAUCUCAUCUGGUCUCAAAAGCCAAGCAGGGUUGGGCCUGGUUAGUACUUGGACAGAUAUUCAGAAGAGACUGCUCAGAGACAAGCAGUUUAGAGA
rnacentral:rRNA from 1 species